GUGCUGGUCUUUAUCACGUCAUGGGGACAUCAAUCUGUAAACACAGUCACGUCAUGGGGACCUCUUGCAGUGUGGGGACAAAAAAGCAGGUCCCCAUAAGGAUAACCCAUUACAAUGAAUACAGGAACUUUUUCUAAAGGUGCCUGUGUGGUUUUUAGCCAUGGCCCAUAACACACGUUUACCGGUAGGUGUGUGAGUGUUUGGGAGGGUGCCAAGAUGCGCCCCUAAAGGUUUGCGGCUGUAAGUGCACUCACUGCGCCAAACACGGAUUCCAAAUAUGGUUGGGUACCGCCCACUUCCAGGUAGGUACCCGCUAGCAGUAACUGUGCCUGACUGUUCGCUGGUCUGGUAAAUUGCUUGGAGCUCAUUAAGGAUUGAUACGGCGAUUUAAGGAGAUAAUGACAGAAGAGCUUUUUCUAAGGAGCAAAGGGGAAACACACGGUCGUGGUGUAUUUGCAAAGGGUUCCAUUUCUCAAGGAGAUUUCGUUCUCGAAUACAGGGGAGAAUUCCUGUUGUUGAAGCCCAGAGAAGGAGGCUGAUAUACCACGAAUCAUGUACUGCAUUUCUUUUCAUGUUUAGGUGGAGAGGGAAAACAUGGUGGUAAGUAUUUAAGUUGCGCCUAAACUAUACUCUAUACUCUAUUUUAGGUGAGGCUCUGAUUUUGUGGAAUACAUUGUCUGUUAAAUAUGACUGACAAUGUAUUCCAGAAAGUUAAACUGAUUGAGCCAUGUGAUCCUGCAUUGUAACUAUAACAAUUAUUUUUCCAUGAACUUGUCAUGACAUUUAUGUUCCCCUUUCCUCAUGUUUCAUCUUUUUAGUAUCGAUGCCGCCAGAGAUGACGGUUCACUUGGGCGCCUCGUUAACGACGAACACAGGCGUCCAAACUGUAAAAUGAAAAAUAUUGAUGUCAAUGGAAGCCCACAUCUUUGUUUGUUUGCCCUUAUGGACAUAAAACAAGGAGAAGAAAUUUCAUACGAUUAUGGAGGUGAAGACUGCCCAUGGAGAACAGAAACGACCACAGUUGGACCAAAUGCACUGCUGGUAGAAGAUUUGCAUACUGUUGUCCUGGCAAAUACCGAAGUGGGUGAUGCUACUCAUCCAAACAUCGCUCAACAGAUGACCACAGUUGGAGACGAUGCCCUGCUAGAUGGGGGCUCGAAACCUGUCCUUUCAAAUACCGAAGGGGAUGAUGAUGCUACUCGUCCAAAAAUCACUCAACAGAUGACCACAGUUGGAGACGAUGCCCUGCUAGAUGGGGACUCGAAACCUGUCCUUUCAAAUACCGAAGGGGAUGAUGAUGCUACUCGUCCAAAAAUCACUCAACAGAUGACCACAGUUGGAGACGAUGCCCUGCUAGAUGGGGGGCUCGAAACCUGUCCUUUCAAAUACCGAAGGGGAUGAUGAUGCUACUCGUCCAAAAAUCACUAAACAGAUGACCACAGUUGGAGACGAUGCCCUGCUAGAUGGGGGCUUGAAACCUGUCCUUUCAAAUACCGAAGGGGAUGAUGAUGCUACUCGUCCAAAAAUCACUCAACAGAUGACCACAGUUGGAGACGAUGCCCUGCUAGAUGGGGGCUCGAAACCUGUCCUUUCAAAUACCGAAGGGGAUGAUGAUGCUACUCGUCCAAAAAUCACUAAACAGAAAAGGUUCUUGAAAGUGAAGACGAAAGCACACAGGGGGCACACUGUUCAUCUACUGUUGAUGCAGAAGAGACUCUUCCUCACAUCGAGAGCCCUGAAAUUCCACCAACCAAGAAGCGAAGACAACGGCCGUUGGUUGAAAUGCCGGAAGAAGUCGGCGCUAUGAGGCCUUCCUCCCAAGCAGAGACUCUUCCUCACAUCGAGAGCCCUGAAAUGCCACCACCCAAGAAACGCAGACAACGGCCUUUGGUGGAAAUGCCGGAAGAAGUCGGCGCCAUGAGAAAAAAAGAGAACAUGAAUUACAAAUUCACAUUUUCCUGAAUGUAUGAAAAGUAAAGCUGCAAAGAAGAAAAAACCCUGGCAGCCGACGGAGGUCCAGGCAGUCGAGAGGCACAUGACUCGCUUCAUCACCUCUUGCAUUGUACCUGGGAAGAGUGAUUGCGAGAAAUGUUUAAGGGUUGAACCAGAAGCACUACAGAACCGGGAUUGGCAGAACCUUAAAUUCUACAUUCAUAACCGAAUUAAGUCCUACAAAAAGAAGUGGCAAUGAAAAUAGUUUAUACAUUGCAUGUAUAAUGUAUAAUAUUAUACAUUAUACAUGUAUAAUAAUUUUUAAUUAUUAUACAUGUAUAUAUAUCCACGUAAUUGAAACAUGAGUCUGAAAGAAGUUUAAUUAUUAUAGAUUUAAAUUUCAGGUAGUCGUUCAGUACUAUCAUUUUGCUCAGAAAGGCCAAAAAGGGCAUAAUUUUAAAAGAAUAUGGUGACGUUUCUACCUUGAUUCUGUAUUUCCAGAUGCUUUGUAUCCAACAAAUCUUGUUGAAGGGCCAAUAAAAGCCCAAUAAUGAGUGAGACCUCAAUAAAAGUUUACUUUUGCAAUUUAAAUGUGUAAUUCAUGUCUUGGAAUUCAAGAGGUAGUUAGUCUUAGCAUUGUUGCAUAGUUUAAGGAGAUUGACUGAAACUGUAGUUGGGUGAUUAUGGUUGAUAUUCUAAGCCGGAAAUGACAUACU